CACUACAACGGGUGGAGCCUGCGGUUUAAUUGGAUUCAACGCCGGAAAUCUCACCGGGGCGACAGCAAUAUGAAGGUCAGGCUGAAGACCUUACCCGAUUUAGCUGAGAGGUGGUGCAUGGCCGUCGUCAGUUCGCACUGUGAAGCAUCCUGUUAAGUCAGGCAACGAGCGAGACCCACGUCCACAGUUGCCAGCAUACCCUCCGGGGUGAUGGGUACACUGUGGAGACCGCCGCUGCUAAAGCGGAGGAAGGAGUGGGCAACGGUAGGUCAGUAUGCCCCGAAUCUCCCGGGCUACACGCGGGCUACAAUGGUUGGUACAAUGGGCAUCUACCCCGAAAGGGGAAGGAAAUCUCUUAAAGCCAAUCGUAGUUCGGAUUGAGGGCUGCAACUCGCCCUCAUGAAGCUGGAAUCCGUAGUAAUCGCGUUUCAACAGAACGCGGUGAAUACGUCCCUGCUCCUU
rnacentral:rRNA from 1 species